rnacentral:rRNA from 1 species
GACGAACGCUGGCGGCGUGCCUAACACAUGCAAGUCGAACGGAACGGCCGUGCUUUUGUGCGCUGCUCGGGUGGCGACGGGGUGAGUAACACGUGAGUAACGUGCCCUUGCCUUUGGGAUAACUUAAGGCAACUGGGGCUAAUCCCGGAUAGGAGCUCCCGCUGCUUGGUGGGGGUUGGAUAGUUUCGGCGGUUGGGGAUGGACUCGCGGCUUAUCAGCUUGUUGGUUGGGUAGUGGCUUACCAAGGCAUUGAACGGUAGCCGACCUGGGAGGGGGAACGGACACACUAGGACUGAGAUACGACCCAGACUCGAAUGGGAGGCAAGGGAGGGGAGGAGAACACAAGGGGCGGAGGCCAGAUGCGACAACGCCGCGUGGGGGAAGACGUGCUGCGGGUAGUGAACCGCAGUCGCCUUAGACGAAGCGAUAGUGACGGUAAUGGGAGAAUAAGCACCGGCUAACUACGUG